rnacentral:rRNA from 1 species
AGAGUUUGAUCCUGGCUCAGGACGAACGCUGGCGGCGUGCUUAACACAUGCAAGUCAAGGGGGCCCGCAAGGGCAACCGGCGAACGGGUGCGUAACACGUGAGCAACCUACCGAGAUGUGGGGGAUAGCCGGCCCAACGGCCGGGUAAUACCGCAUACGAUUGCUUGGGGGAGUCCCCGGGCAAGGAAACCCGCAAGGGGCAUUUCGAGGGGCUCGCGGCCUAUCAGCUAGUUGGCGGGGUAAUGGCCCACCAAGGCGACGACGGGUAGCUGGUCUGAGAGGAUGGCCAGCCACAUUGGGACUGAGAAACGGCCCAGACUCCUACGGGAGGCAGCAGUGGGGAAUCUUGCGCAAUGGUCGAGAGACUGACGCAGCGACGCCGCGUGUGGGAGGACGCCCUUCGGGGUGUAAACCACUGUUGCCCGGGACGAACAUCCACUUUCGAGUGGACUGACGGUACCGGGUGAGGAAGCACCGGCUAACUCCGUGCCAGCAGCCGCGGUAAUACGGAGGGUGCGAGCGUUGUCCGGAAUCACUGGGCGUAAAGGGCGCGUAGGUGGCGCGGGAAGUCAACGGUGAAAGUUCAGGGCUCAACCCUGAAUCGGCCGUCGAUACUCCCGGGCUUGAGCACUGUAGAGGCAGGUGGAAUUCCGGGUGUAGCGGUGGAAUGCGUAGAGAUCCGGAAGAACACCGGUGGCGAAGGCGGCCUGCUGGGCAGUUGCUGACACUGAUGCGCGACAGCGUGGGGAGCAAACAGGAUUAGAUACCCUGGUAGUCCACGCCGUAAACGAUGGGCACUAGAUGCUUGGGGGAGCGACCCCCUGAGUGUCGGCGCUAACGCAUUAAGUGCCCCGCCUGGGGAGUACGGCCGCAAGGCUGAAACUCAAAGGAAUUGACGGGGGCCCGCACAAGCGGUGGAGCAUGUGGUUUAAUUCGACGCAACGCGAAGAACCUUACCUAGGCUUGACAUGCACGGGAAACCCUUG